rnacentral:rRNA from 1 species
GUGAGGAAUAUUGCACAAUGGGCGAAAGCCUGAUGCAGCAACGCCGCGUGAGUGAUGAAGGCCUUUGGGUCGUAAAACUCUGUCCUUGGGGAAGAAAAAAAUGACGGUACCCUUGGAGGAAGCCCCGGCUAACUACGUGCCAGCAGCCGCGGUAAUACGUAGGGGGCAAGCGUUAUCCGGAAUUAUUGGGCGUAAAGAGUGCGUAGGUGGUUUUGUAAGCGUAGGGUGAAAGGCAGUAGCUCAACUAUUGUUAGCCCUGCGAACUGUGAGACUUGGGUGCAGGAGAGGAAAGGGGAAUUCCUAGUGUAGCGGUGAAAUGCGUAGAGAUUAGGAGGAACCCCGGUGGCGAAGGCGACUUUCUGGACUGUAACUGACACUGAGGCACAAAAGCGUGGGUAGCAAACAGGAUUAGAAACCCCGGUAGUCC